rnacentral:rRNA from 1 species
GAUGAACGCUGGCGGCGUGCCUAAUACAUGCAAGUCGAGCGAACGGACGAGAAGCUUGCUUCUCUGAUGUUAGCGGCGGACGGGUGAGUAACACGUGGAUAACCUACCUAUAAGACUGGGAUAACUUCGGGAAACCGGAGCUAAUACCGGAUAAUAUUUUGAACCGCAUGGUUCAAAAGUGAAAGACGGUCUUGCUGUCACUUAUAGAUGGAUCCGCGCUGCAUUAGCUAGUUGGUAAGGUAACGGCUUACCAAGGCAACGAUGCAUAGCCGACCUGAGAGGGUGAUCGGCCACACUGGAACUGAGACACGGUCCAGACUCCUACGGGAGGCAGCAGUAGGGAAUCUUCCGCAAUGGGCGAAAGCCUGACGGAGCAACGCCGAGUGAGUGAUGAAGGUCUUCGGAUCGUAAAACUCUGUUAUUAGGGAAGAACAUAUGUGUAAGUAACUGUGAACAUCUUGACGGUACCUAAUCAGAAAGCCACGGCUAACUACGUG